UACGGAGGGAGCUAGCGUUGUUCGGAAUUACUGGGCGUAAAGCGCACGUAGGCGGCUUUGUAAGUUAGAGGUGAAAGCCCGGGGCUCAACUCCGGAACUGCCUUUAAGACUGCAUCGCUUGAAUCCAGGAGAGGUGAGUGGAAUUCCGAGUGUAGAGGUGGAAUUCGUAGAUAUUCGGAAGAACACCAGUGGCGAAGGCGGCUCACUGGACUGGUAUUGACGCUGAGGUGCGAAAGCGUGGGGAGCAAACAGG
rnacentral:rRNA from 1 species